GAUGAACGCUGGCGGCGUGCCUAAUACAUGCAAGUUGAGCGAACAGACGAGGAGCUUGCUCCUCUGACGUUAGCGGCGGACGGGUGAGUAACACGUGGAUAACCUACCUAUAAGACUGGGAUAACUUCGGGAAACCGGAGCUAAUACCGGAUAAUAUAUUGAACCGCAUGGUUCAAUAGUGAAAGACGGUUUUGCUGUCACUUAUAGAUGGAUCCGCGCCGCAUUAGCUAGUUGGUAAGGUAACGGCUUACCAAGGCAACGAUGCGUAGCCGACCUGAGAGGGGGAUCGGCCACACUGGAACUGAGACACGGUCCAGACUCCUACGGGAGGCAGCAGUAGGGAAUCUUCCGCAAUGGGCGAAAGCCUGACGGAGCAACGCCGCGUGAGUGAUGAAGGUCUUCGGAUCGUAAAACUCUGUUAUUAGGGAAGAACAAAUGUGUAAGUAACUAUGCACGUCUUGACGGUACCUAAUCAGAAAGCCACGGCUAACUACGUG
rnacentral:rRNA from 1 species